CAGGGAGCAGUGGGCGGCAGCUCGGUAAAAAGGAAAAAAGCACACAGACUGAGAGUUGGGUCCUGAUGGUGGGAUUCUGGGGGGUUUCCUUUUCUCCUCUUGCUGAAUAUUCUGUCUGUGGCCAUCAGACCAUCACAAUUAAAAGGUAAGUUUAUAGGGGCAUCUGGGUGGCUCAGUUGGUUAAGUGUCCGACUUGUGGUCUCAACUCAGGUCAUGAUCUUAGGGUCAGGGUCACUGAGCACUGUGCUCCGUGCUGGGUGUGAAGUAUACUUAGAAAAGAAAGAAAAAGUAAACACAAGGGUGCAGCCACUUGGGACCCUUGUUGUCACUACUGAUUUGCUCAGCAUUGGUGUCCCCAGGUCCACAUCCCCUGCUCAGGGCUGGCCUGGGGUCCCUGGGGGCCUUCAUCGGGGGUGGGGGCAGGAUAGGGUGCACCAUCCGACUCAGAGCCUGCUGCAACUUCCCAUCCUCCUCCUGCAUCUCCGCCCUGUCCUCGCCCUUCUCCCUCGGCCCCCUCUGUGCGCAGAGCCGGUGGCGCCUGCUUCCCCCAGGAGGCCUGCAGCUGCCUGUUUAAAACCAAGACUGUUCUGCCCUCUGCCUCCCCGUGCUGCACGGUAGAAGUGCUGAGGGUCGCUGUGUCUUGAGGGACCAGGAACCAGCCCUAAUUUUGUUUCUGAGGGGGAAAAGUCUGCAUUUAGAGUUUGGAGACAGCAAGGUGGACUUUUAAAAAUGGCCAUUUUACAAGUAGAAAAGCAAAGUGAUAUGCCCCAAAUAAUAGCAGUGGAGCUGAAAUUCAAACCCAGAGUAGGUUUCAAAUUUUCAAGUUCCAAUUCCCUGAACAGUAAAGGGAGGCAGACUAUUGUUGGCCCUGGGGUCAGGGCAGUACCAUAUAUCCUGUCUUUUAACCAACUGCACCCGUGGGUCUUCCUGCCUCCGCACAGCUUACAAAGGCCUUACAGCCCAGCCUCCUGCUCAUGCCAGCUCCCAAUACCUUGAGUAUCUUCAAGUAUCUUCUUUUAAACAUUUUUUUAAAUGUUUAUUUAUUUUUGAGAGAGACAGAGUGUGAGCCAGGGGAGGGGCAGAGAGAGAGAGACACACAGAAUCCAAAGCAGGCUCCAGGCUCUGAGCUAUCAGCACAGAGCUCAACAUGGGGCUCGAACUCAUGAACUCUGAGAUCAUGACCCGAGCUGAAGUUGGACACUCAACCAACUGAGCCACCCAGGUGCCCCACUUCUAGUAACUUCUAUAGCCUCAGCCAGGGCUUGGUGUUUUGAGAUACUAUCUUGUCUGAACUUCACUGGGGGUGGGAGGAAUGUUCAGCCCAUUGUACAGAAGGGGAAACCAAAAUUUAGAGAAACUUCAUCCAACAAAUAUCUAUUAAGUGUCUAUUCUGUGUCAGCUCCGCCUCCUGCCCUCACAGUCUGCUAGGAAAGACAAACAUUCCACAGAUGAAAAUAGGGAAUGAUGGAUUGUACUAAGUGAUGUGGCUGUAAAGACUGGGAACUACGAGAGAGACCAGUCCUACUGGAAGGGGUCAGGGAAGACCUGUCUGCAGGCAGCAUUUAAGCUGAGACCAGAAGGGUGAAUGGAUGUGACUUGCCCUUAAGACUCACAAGUUGGGCACAGCUGAGUCCUGUGGGUGGCUUCUGACCUCUGUCCGUAUGCCUGUUUCCUGGGCAGACACGGCCGUCCUGCUGUCUAGAGGGGUGAGGCACAAAGAGACCAGUUAGGGGAAGACCCAAGGUGAGUGGAACCUUGACGCUCCCACCCUCUUGUCAUUGAGGUUGGGAAUGGGACACCAAGAAGCCUGGGAAAGCAGAUGUAACUUAAACCGAAGCUCGGGCCCAGCGGCAGAAUCCUCAGGCAAAGGCAUUGUGUUGGCCUUUCCCCACCGCCUGAGCCACCUCGGGGUCUUCAGAGGGCUGCUACAUGGUUACUGACCCAGCCCUGGACACAGUUCAUUGGUCAACGAGUAAACAUGUGACUAAACCGGGCCUAUAGGGUCCUUCCCUGAAAUCUGUUUCUCCCUGAAGGUGACCUGCCCUAACCCACUACUCUGUGCUCUCAUAUGGAUGCUCCCACCCAAAGCAGAGGUUUGUGCAGCCUUGGGAGCAUAGGGGAUUCGGGCUCAAAUCAUGGCAAAGCUACAAGAUCUCUGCCGAGCACGUGGCAGGUAAGAACACAGGCUUUGGAGUUAGUCCUGGGCUCAAACCUUGCCUCCAUCACCAAUUCAGGGUGUGAUCUUGGGCGAGUCACUGGCCCUGUCUGGGCUUCUGUUGUUUUGUUUUGUUUGCCUUCUUUCUUUUUCUUUUUUUCUUUUUUCUUUCUGAGAGAGCACAAGUGGGGGAAAGGCAGAGAGAGGGGGGCAGAGGAUCCAAAGUGGGCUCUGCAUGCUGACAGGCUGACAAGCACUGGGCUUCUGUUUUUUUUUUUUUUAUCUGUAGAGUGGGACACCAGCUUCACAGGCACCUGGGAAGUGCUGACGCCACCGUAGCAAUGGUAUAGAAGGUGCGACACGGACCAGGCCUAGCAGCUGGUCAGUGUGGGAUGCAGCCAGGCUCAGACCAGCUGUGUGGCCUGGGGUCCCAGUCAGCAGUCACCUCCACCAGGAAGUCUUCACCAACACCCCUGGGGACAAGGUGCCCCUCCUGCAUGAUUCCACACCUUCUUCGGCAGGCCUCCAGUCAGACCCAGUCCUGCCCUCAGACUUGAGGUGAGGCUCCAGUGAAUUAAAACACAUGAAAUCUGAA